rnacentral:rRNA from 1 species
CCUACGGGAGGCUGCAGUGAGGAAUAUUGGUCAAUGGACGCAAGUCUGAACCAGCCAAGUAGCGUGCAGGAUGACGGCCCUCCGGGUUGUAAACUGCUUUUAGUUGGGAAUAAAAGGGGGCUCGUGAGCCCCAUAUUGUAUGUACCAUCAGAAAAAGGACCGGCUAAUUCCGUGCCAGCAGCCGCGGUACUACGGAAGGUCCGGGCGCUAUCCGGAUGUAUUGGGUUGAAAGGGAGCGUAGGCCGGCGUUUAAGUCAGCUGUGAAAGUCCGCGGCUCAACCGUGGGAUUGCAGUUGAAACUGGAGGCCUUGAGUGCACACAGGGAUGCCGGAAUUCAUGGUGUAGCGGUGAAAUGCUUAGAUAUCAUGAAGAACUCCGAUCGCGAAGGCGAGUGUCCGGUGUGCAACUGACGCUGAGGCUCGAAAGUGCGGGUAUCAAACAGGAUUAGAUACCCUUGUAGUC